rnacentral:tRNA from 1 species
ACCUGGGUGGCUCAGUCGGUUGAGCGUCUGACUUUGGCUCAGGUCAUGACCUCGUGGUUUGUGGGUUUGAGCCCCGUGUCGGGCU